CACACACACACACACACACACACACACACACACACACGCACACACACACACACACACACACACACACACCCAUCCAGUAGAAACUGGAAGGAAUAAAGACUUCUGAAAAACAAUCACAUUAGUUUUUAAAUAAUAAAACCAAAACGCUCCCAGAUGAAACGCUGGUUUGUUUUUAACUGGACUCCAGAAACAGGAAGUGAAACUUCCACCAUCCUGAGAAGAAGAGCAGCUUCGCCCUGUAAAUGGUAGGUUGCCGGUUUGAGCCCAGUCAGUUGUGCAGUUGGGCAAGCCACUUCACUCUCCUUGCCUGCUGGUGGUGUUCAAAGGGUAUGGUGGUGCUGAUGUAGAGGCAGCCCCUCCCCCGUCUGACUCAGAGAGGCACUUAAGACUGGAGUCUUUUAUCAGAUGAGUGAAACCAAACCCAACAUAAUCUGGUUUUCCUCAUCCUGGUCCAUUCGCAGCAGGCUGCUUUCAGGUUUUAUAUCCCAUCAAGUUCAGCUUCUGAAACCAAACUGACCCAAUUAGUCUUCAGAUUAUCAGAAACAAAACAAAAGCAGGAGUGAGCAGUGCUGCUUUGGGAGACGUCUGAUAUGAAGGACGCAGCCAGCCAUCAACAUUUUUUCCCACCACACGUCAUCGAAACAUCAAUAAAUAUAUAUUAUUAAUGAAUUAUUGUCCAGCCCUAUGCUAACAUCCAGUUAACAGGAGCUAACAUCCAGCUAACUGGAGCUCAAAUUCAGCUAACAGGUGCUAACAUCCAGCUAACGUCCAGCUAACUGGAGCUAACAUCAAGCCAACUGGUGCUAACAUCCAAACUGACAGGCACCAACAUCCAGCUAACUGGAACUAAAAUCCAGCUAACAGGCACUAACAUCCAGCUAACAGGCAUUAACAUCCAGCUAACAGGCAUUAACAUCCAGCUAACAGGCAUUAACAUCCAGCUAACAGGCACUAACAUCCAGCUAACAGGCGCUAACAUCCAGCUAACAGGCGCUAACAGGCAUUAACAUCCAGCUAACAGGCACUAAAAUCCAGCUAACAGGCACUAACAUCCAGCUGACAGGCACAAACAUCUAGCUAACUGGAGCUAACAUCCAGCUAACUGGAGCUAACAUCCAGCGAACAGGCGCUAACAUACAGCUAACUUGAGCUAACAUCCAGCUAACUGGAGCUAACAUCCAUUUAGGGCUGCAACAAACGAUUAUUUGGAUAAUCGAUUAAUCGGAUGGGGUCUUGACACGAU
rnacentral:lncRNA from 1 species